rnacentral:lncRNA from 1 species
GAUAGGGCCACAAAGCAGAAUUAUUUUUAGUCACCAUAAAAAAAAACAGGGAAAAAAAUCACUAUUAGUAUGAGUAACUUUAGAUAAAAAGUUAUCAAGAUCUAUAGCUUGUACCUAUUUUGCUUUUUUAAAAUUUUUUUUUUCUUUUUGAGACUGGGUUUUGCUAUGUAGUUUAGGUUUGCCUUGAACUCACAUAGCCUAGGCUUCUCUCUAACUCUUGGCAUUCCUCCUGUCUCAGCCUCCUGAGCACUGGGAUCACAGGUAUGUGCUACUGCUCCUGUCUAGCCUGCACAUUUUUAACCCAGAAAUUAAUCAGUCUACCUCUCCUACCUUGUAUCUUGAGAAUAGCUGAUUCAAAUAGACUCAUACUGAAUUUUGUCAUGAGAACUAGUUACUGGUGUGAGCACAGCUUAAACGUAACAGUGUAAAACAACAGUAAACACUUCCUUGUUUAACUCUAAGCUCUUAUGCUAUGGGUUUCUGACUUUAGUUUAUGUUUAAAUAUACUGCAGGUCCUGAAUUCUGGAAUUUGUGUGCAGCAGAGAGGGCAUCCCGGGGACAAGGGCCGUUCUCCAGAAAACCCAGCGAGACAUUUCACUGCACGAGGGUCCCAUCUUCAUCCUGCUUCCCGAAGUUAUUCCUAAACCUGCUCAAUGGGGGUGCCGAGGCGAGAGGAUCCCUACUACCUGAAAAUCUACUAAACAAUUUUGGUCACCAAUUUCUACUUUACUAGAGCAUCCAGAGACGCAAUGAGCAGGUCUGGCAUGAGUUGCCUGUAUAUCUCCAGGCACAGAACUUUGAUUAGGGCAUACACCAACCUCUGAGGCUACAGCCAAAGGAAAUCAUGAUUCUGUUGACAAAAGAAGAAGAUAGGAACCCUGGAAGGCCCCAGGCAUUUACAAAGAUAACCCUCAUCGCCUCCUCAGAUUGUUCAGGAUAAAGGAAACAGCAUGUCUAAAGUAUAUUUUAUGUGAGUUGAGUGUGGUGGCACAAACACUCCUGUAAUCUCAGCACUCAGGAGGCUGAGACAGGAGGAUUGCUUU